rnacentral:rRNA from 1 species
AACGAACGCUGGCGGCAUGCCUAACACAUGCAAGUCGAACGAAGGCUUCGGCCUUAGUGGCGCACGGGUGCGUAACGCGUGGGAAUCUGCCCUUGGGUUCGGAAUAACUCAGAGAAAUUUGAGCUAAUACCGGAUGAUGACGUAAGUCCAAAGAUUUAUCGCCCAAGGAUGAGCCCGCGUAAGAUUAGCUAGUUGGUGGGGUAAAGCCUACCAAGGCGACGAUCUUUAGCUGGUCUGAGAGGAUGAUCAGCCACACUGGGACUGAGACACGGCCCAGACUCCUACGGGAGGCAGCAGUGGGGAAUAUUGGACAAUGGGCGCAAGCCUGAUCCAGCAAUGCCGCGUGUGUGAAGAAGGCCUGCGGGUUGUAAAAGCACUUUCAGUGGGAGG